rnacentral:lncRNA from 1 species
GCCUCAUAUUUGUCCACAGUUUCGUAGAGAACGCGCUGGUAAAUAUAUUGAUCACUUAUCUCCCAGGUGUAUGGGGCUUAUCAAAAUCGGCUCAAGCUGUCAAUUUACAGGAAGGAACCUCAGCACGGAUGCCUAUCUGGGCCGCUUCAAAAUGGUGGUUUACUCCACCAUAUCUUACAUCAUUGUGAGUUUUUUAAUGAGAGAUUAACGUUAAACCCACCACUUUUUACUCUCGAGUGUCUUAUUCAGAGAUUUUCUAAAUCAAUCGACUUUUUGUAGGGAUUGGUGCUGUUCUGGAAUGCAGCCUGGCAUAGAAAAAUAGAUGUUCGAACUUUUUACAUAGGACUCGUGCUAAUAACUCUGGCAAAAGCAGCAAAAGAGGUAUCCUUGAACGGGUUUCUUGAUGAUCAAUUCAUGGCGAAGGAUAUCACAACCACAGAAGAGGAUGAAGAACGACAACAUAGCCGUAGCAAUGUCUGGUGGCGCUCUGCAUCCAUCUUGGGUGCUAUUGCAGCUAUUUCUGUCCCGAGUUCAUUGAAGCUGCUUUCUAUGAUCUCAGCAAUUGCAAUGAUGGUUGCAUACUUGUGGUUCUGGUUAGGUGCAAAAUUUUACGAAUGCAAUCGACCAACAGGCAGCGCCAUCUCUGAUGUUCUAUUUGUUAUCAAAACAGCAGUACUAAGAAGAAAUCUUCUCUAUGCAACUACUCCAGAGCAGCUCUUCCAAAAUUAUAAAGGUGUUACGCAUAUUGAGCCUCGCAUUUCAUGGUUGAGGUAUGUCCCUUCACUCGGUUUCUUACUUACAAUGAAGACUACAAGAUCAUUGAUCUUAUUCGCACUGCAUUUUGUUUGUUAAACGAAAGGUGGUUAGACAAAGCUCCCAUUGUGAUUGAAGAAGAAAAUAGGGCAAACAAGAAUUGCACAGUUGCACAAGUGAAGGAAGUGAAAUUUUUAUUAGCGAUGGUUCCUAUGUGGACAACUUUCCUUACAUACAGUCUGGUUGAUGCGACAGGGAGCACCUUUUUUCUCGAACAAGCUAGCAACAUAAAUGAAAAUUUUCCUUUUACUGUUUUCAAUAUAUUAGUAGUAGUCACAAGCUUUGCAAUUGAACAUCUAUGUGACUUCCUAUUUCGAAAGAUUGGUAAUGAAAUGAAUAGACAACUCUUAAGGCAGGGGAGAAUCGGUUUUGGAAUGGCAUUUUCUGUCAUUUGUUGCAUAUUUUCUUGGAAAAAUGCAGUUCACUGGCUGUAUUUGGUCAAGACAUAUGAUAUGCCAAGUUCAUACACGAAUAUUUUUAGCCUGACUCCACAAUUUAUCUUCUUGGGAAUUAUGAAAGGACUUUCAGAAAGUGGGCUUCGAAGUUUCUUUUGUUCCCAGGUUUCUGAAUCUCUAAAGAACUACGGACCACCGUUUGGAGAAUGUGUGAUAGGCAUCGGAAAGUUUCUGAGUAUACUUUGUAUCCUCAUUUUCAGUAGCUGGUUUGGGGAAGAUAUAGAUUCAAGUCGUUUGGACAAAUAUUAUGCGAUGCUGACACUUCUAAGUUUUGUUAACUUACUAAUAUACUGGUUGGUUGCGUACUGGUAUGGAGAUGAUCAAUUUUCACCUGAAGUAGAUUGUGAACUACUCAUAGAAGGUGCACAAGACAGAAUUGUGCCUUUGGUAUUGCGGUCCUUCUCUGAUCAGACGUCCAAUAAUCUUCAAUAUAUUAGUGUUUCAACAAGGAGAGCACUAUCCUUAUCUGAUAAGACACCCAAUAACCCUCUAUAUUUCAGUGUUUUCAGAAGGAGAACGCGGUCCUUCCCUGGUCCUGCUUGCCCUAUAACUCCAAACAAGCUGGAUGAUGCACAAGAGCAGGAAAAUGAACAACUACUCGAUUUAAAAAUAUCUGAUUGUGAACAUCGUGAUGUUUUGUAAAAUUGGUCAAUGUUAAAUUGAUCAUGGAAAGGUAUCAGAAUGGCUGCAAGACUCGAUCCCCUUACAUACCUUCUGUUAUUCCCCAAAGGAUCCUUCCUAUUAUGCUUACUAAUUGUGAUUUCUAUUUCUCUCCAUUUGUAUUGCUUUGUUUUUCUUUCUGAUAUAGACAUGUCUUUGAUUAUAAAUAUAUUUAAUGUACAAAAAAUAAUAUUUUUCUGAGCAUAGGCUUUAUUUCAUCUGAUGGCUCAAACCAUUAAUAAAUCAUCAGACCAAAAAAUGGUUGUUCCUAUUUCUGAUCCAUUCACAAACCCACAAUCAUAAUGGCAAAGAUCAUCAAUCAUUGUUGUUGUGUGACCUCUAUUUUCAAUUGAAAAUUAUAAUACUUGGCACAGAUCAUUGUGCACAGUCUUUAGAGCAAAGAACAAAUUGGGAUUAGCUGUGCUACAUGUAUACGUCCAUUUGCGUAGGGCCUGUACAGAGGCACACAUAUGGAGGUGGACUCCACACAUGGGGUCCACGUGUGGGUCCACCCCCAUGUGACAACCCCUACAAAUGGGCCUGGGAGCCUUUUUCAAUUGGGAUCUGCAUUAAUGGUGUCCUAAGGUUACAAUCGCUAAAAUAAGAAAACAAAUUCUAAUUUCUUAACUCAUGGAAGCCUAGGAAUUGGACGACAUCUAAUCGAUUGAGGAAGAUGAAAAAAUCAUUCAAAGAUUCACUGCAACCGCUUCGGAAAAGAAGGUCAUAUUAUUGACAAAUGCUACAAGAUACAAUAAUGUCCACAACGUAAUAAUGUUCGGCCACAUUGUUUUGUUGUUGUUAUAUAAUUAUUUAUCGUUCAAAAGGGUCAAUUUUGGGCUGAAAUGUGAAUGAAUUAAUGAUGAAAAUUGGAAGGCAAUAUGAUUAGGUAGUUUCUGUUUAACCAAGCAUAUGCAUAGCCUUGUCUACAGAAAAUUGAAGCGUCUUUGCUUCUACCAUGAGAAUGAAUUAAUGAUGAAAAUUAGAAGGCAAUAUCUUUUUGCUCUUCGUACCUUUUGUUUUCUGUUAUCAAUCCUAUCCCUAGCCAACACCCGUCUCCUCGUGCAUUUUAUUUUUGCACAAUUCCAUAACCCAGGAAGAAGGUAAUUGAAUCAGGACAAGACUGUGUAGUGCACAAUACAGAUCAUCAGGGGCUCACAAGUUAUAUUGACAUGCAGUAGGAAGAGAUCAUCUAAUUCGUCCUCCGUAUCGUCGGAUACAAAAUCUUCCUUGUCAAGCUCCCUCAUUUAAUUCUAAGCAUUUCUAGAACUUCUCGAAGGCAGUAAGAUAUCAUUUCCACCCCCAUCAUACUCCUUCGCAUCAUCACAACCCUCUACAAUCCAAGAUUUUCCAUUAGUUGCAUCACUUGCUUAUAGAGUCUCUAUUUUGCAUGUUCUACUCUUCUUGUUUGCCAACCUUGCAUUAAAUUGCACAAUAAUCAAGUCUAUUCUGUUUCACCAAGUGUAUCUAUAAUAAAAAAAAUGAGAAGAAGAAGAAGAGGAGGAGGAGGAGGAGGAGGAGGAGGAAAGGUACAUUUAAUGGAGCAAAGCAUAUUAAGUAAUUAUUCAUUGCUUAUUACUAAGUAAAAUGUAAUGACUUAAUUAAUAUUUAUCCCUUCAAAACAGCUCUAGUUUCUUUCACAACUGGAUGAACAAGUAGUCAAACCAAAUAUCCUUUUUGCCAUGGUCUUCAAAAUAGGUGUUUCAUUUCCAUAAAAAUCCCACCAAAUCACUAAUAAAUAUAAAUGAAAGAGACAAACAAGUUAUUUAAUAUUUAUAUAAUCACAUAUAAAAUAUAAUAAAUUAUUGAUGCAAGAGAAAGAGUAAUAUGUUAACAUACCUUGAUUAUAAUUUUCAUCAUUGUUUUUACAUGCACUUAUUGCAAGCUUCCUUCCAAAUGAAACUUUCUUUUGGAUAUAUCUUUGCAACUCAAUGAUUAUCACAUGAUGCUGCAUUUGAUCAUUAAGGAAGAAUUUAUCAACAUAAGCAUUUAUAUUAUUUAUCAUGAAUGAAUCAUCAUUGAUACACGGAUUCAUGAAGAAAUAGAAUGGAUUCAAAAAAAUAAGCAGUUGUAUGAAGUGGACUUCAUAAACCCAUCUUGCCAAAUAUUGAUGAACCUCUAAUAACAUUUUCUUAGCAAUUGCAUCAUUCAUAUUUUGUUGUCUCAAUUUCUUAAUUGCACUCAUAGAAGCAUUAUUGACAUUGAUAGACCUUGCAAAUUAAUCCAUAGGUCCCACAUUAAUAGGCCUUUCCUAGUCCCUCUUUCAAUAAUAGUGAUUCCAUCUUCUUCUUCCUCAUCUAUUGUAGGCAAAGAUAUAUUCAUAUCUUCUCUCAACUUACCAUCAUUCAAUAGCUUCUCUAUUUUUUUAGACUUGGUCCCUUGAAGAGCCUCAACACACUUAGCUUUUUUGUUCUUCACUUGUUUUAGGACAUGAUGCCAUACAUCUUCCCUUGAUUUCUGCUACGUGAAGUUUAUGCCUAGAAAUUCCUCCCCUUGUAACCUUUCACAUAAUAUGCAUUUCACAUUAUUAAGAUUGUUUGGACCCACGAAAAUUGCAGUUUUCCAUGCAACAUUUGUGGAAUUUCUUUUGAGUUGACUAGCUUUGGAUUUAGAUAUGCUUAACGAAUCACCUUCUUUCAAUGGUUCCUAAAAAAAAUAGAAACAAUAUAAAAUUUAUAAACAUUGGAGUUCAGUGUACUAAAAUAAAUAGAAUUAAGAUGCACACAAAAUUACAAAUUCUGUAAAUGUAAAAUACCCCAAGUUUUCCCAUUUUUCUGAUUUCUUUAGUGCAAAAAGAACACAAUUUAUAUGAUAAGGGAUGAAUAUUAUAUUGAUCAAACAUGCCAAGUUCAUGAUGGAAUAUUAUAAUGAUCACAAAUAUACUAACAUUAUUAUAUUUUUCCUUUUCCCAUUUUAUACGUAAAAGUUAGUAAAAUUGAUAGUGUACACUAGAGAAGACCCCAAUGUGGACCCAGUGUCAUUGGCUCAUUAGCCAAUCUUUUAGACUUUUAGCAUGGAGAUGCAAGGUUUGUCUUUUUCAUUUUCGACACUUUUAAUAUAGAAACCCCACUAUGGAGUCAGGAGUAUGGACCCGUGUCAAAAUAAUAAUAAAUAAAUAAAUAAAUAAAUCCAGGUUAGUCUAUUUUCUUUUGCAGAUUGAGUGCGUCUGACUUACCGUAGAAAGCACCAAGUCAAGCAGUUGUUGGAAGAGAAAGUGUUGAGAUGUUGCACAUUGGAAGAGAGGAAUUUUUGGAAGCUUUGAAGGCUUCAAGUGGUUGGUUUAAAUUAGGGCAGAUUGAAGACAUUAAUCUUAAUUUUUAACUUAAAAAAAAAAAUUAAAAAAGAAAAAAAGAAAAAAAAAUGAUAAUGAGCGUCUAGGCAUGCAUUAGCGAUCAACGGUUAAAUAAGGCACUGCCUAGACGUGCCUUUUAGAACAUUGAGUUGGAGUAAUUGAUUGACAACCAAUGUUAAUAUAUUUAGAAAAAGAGAAAAAUAGUCAUAUGGAUAAAUAUAGUUAGUUUAGAAUAUUGUGUUUAAGCUUCACUUUUUCUGAAGUAGUAAGAAAGAUUUUUCAAAAUUUGAUCGAUCAUUGANNNNNNNNNNNNNNNNNNNNNNNNNNNNNNNNNNNNNNNNNNNNNNNNNNNNNNNNNNNNNNNNNNNNNNNNNNNNNNNNNNNNNNNNNNNNNNNNNNNNNNNNNNNNNNNNNNNNNNNNNNNNNNNNNNNNNNNNNNNNNNNNNNNNNNNNNNNNNNNNNNNNNNNNNNNNNNNNNNNNNNNNNNNNNNNNNNNNNNNNNNNNNNNNNNNNNNNNNNNNNNNNNNNNNNNNNNNNNNNNNNNNNNNNNNNNNNNNNNNNNNNNNNNNNNNNNNNNNNNNNNNNNNNNNNNNNNNNNNNNNNNNNNNNNNNNNNNNNNNNNAAAACACAUAUUCCGCAUAUAAUCUUGAUUUCACAGCACUCAUUUUAAUAUUUUGAAUCUUUCAAUUUAAUCCAUAUUUCAUUUUAGGACGAUGCUGAAUUUUCCUCUUUUGCUUUAUGCUCAUCUUGGUUUAGUACACAAGUCUCGUUGUUUGACAUCGAUGAUUUAUCAAAAAUUUAGUCCUUGACCAGCAAAUAAUUAAAUCAAACCGUAACAGGCAAAAGCACGUGUUUCAUUCCGACCUUCAAAAAGUAUUGAUAUGACGUGGCCAAAAUGCUGCUUUCGAGCUAAUAGUAGAUUGGGUUUUCACUUCCUUAGGUAGCCAGUGACUUACGAUUAUUCUUAAACUUCUAUUGGUGGAGAAGAAGUGCACUGUACAUAUUUUCCCUAAUUGUCAUACCCAAACACGUUCAUUUGAGACCUUAAUUUUCCUUCGCCACAUAUUUUUCCUUUGCUCCAGCCAAUAAGAGAAAAAAAGGCCGAUGCACUUGCUACAGAUUAUGACCUUUUCGACUGAGUUACAAGUUUUCAACCAAAAAAUACCACUGACCCAAUAAGGCUUCUUUUCCUAGAGCAGUAACUAAAAGAUAAAAGAUUAGUUCCAAAUGGGAUUCAUUCUUUUAUGUCACCUUGCUAUUCGUGACAAUAAAGUAAGAAAUAGAACAAGUAACGUACCCUCAUUCUAAACUUACUCCAUGUAGGUUAGGGUGUGACGAUUAUUUUUACUGUAUUUAGAUCUUGCCGGUGCCACCUAAACAGUGCAUAGGCGAUGAAUGUGCGAAUAUGGCCAUUUCUCAGUCAGCCAUCACUAACCCUUCACUUUAGUGAAUUUCUUGAAUGUUCUCCAGCAGUCGAUUUACUUGAGAUUUCGUCAUGUCUCUUUCUCUAUUCUCUUGGAUAAUUUUUUUCCUAUAGGACCUUGGCUAGUAAACCCCCCCAAUAGGCUAUUAAUGUUUAUCCUUUCCCUAACAAUAUAGAGCUUGGGAAUCUCGAGCGCAAUCAAGAUUUGAACAACAAUGAACACUCAACUUCUAGUCUAGCCUACUAGUUGCUUUUCUUAGUUGUGAUGCAAAUAGGUGAGAUGAUUCGAGUCGGUGCAGUCUGAGCCAGAAAAUAGUCAAUUUUCUUAGUUGUGGAAGUAAUUAUUUGAAAAUUGAUUUUUUGAGAAGGGGUUUUUAUUUUUUAUUUUUUUAAAGAGAUACAAAUAGUAUAAAGAUACAAGUGGAAAGAGAAAAUGUGGAAUUUUCGUGUAUGAAAAUGUGAUUGAUUUGUAGUUGGUUGAAAAUGAGUUUACAAAAAUUAAAAUUUAUACAAAUAUGUAUCAAGCAGGGACUUAAUGAGUAAUGCUACUUACCAUCAUUGAUUUUAUAACAUUAGUUUUGAUGACAUUAACAUGAUAUUAAAUGAAACGUACAAUUAAAUAAGUCACUCAAUUCUAUUUUUCAUUGACCUUAUCAUAAAAAGUAACCUAAAUUGAUAUUAUAGUAGCAAUGACAUUUGUUGGGUUUUGAUACCCAAAGAAUCCCGAGCUAUGACGUUAAUGUCAGAAUAUAAUUUCAUAGGUUUCGACCAAUGGUAAAUUGAUUACCAACAAUCAAAUCCAAAAGCCCAAUUGAAAACAACGUGGAUCGUUGAAAGUAACUUAAGAAAUUAGUGUUGCUCACGGCCCAUAUAUAUUUACCUAUUGGAUGAUUUUGAAUCUUGGUGCAUUUAAUUAUAGCCUAAUAUAUUUCUAUAUAUACGUUGUUUGACCUAGGCGUUCAAGCGUGUGAUUUGUGUGUGAAAAGUGAAAAACUUGGCUGCCAUUAGAGAGGAAAAAUCCAACUGCUUUGUGCUUCCAAAAAACUGGUGAUCUACUUUAUAUUAUUGGUCCCUUCUUUUGCUUUCUUUUCAUUGUUUUUCAUCUUGCUCUUAUGGCCGACAAGUCAAUACCAUUAUUUUAUCCUUUGUGGAUGAGACUGAGUAGCAACCUAGGUAAAUUUUGGUUGUGGGUUGGAACCGUUUGAAUUGGUUAUUUUGUAGAGAAAGGUAACGUGAUAUUGAGCCCAAAAAAUAUCGUUUAAAAGAUUUUUGGAGUGAACUUUCGCGACAAUUGAUAUCAAAGCUUCAAGAUGGUGGAUUUGACUAAAAAUCUAACCAAAACGGACCAAAAUAUGACAGAAUCGAAGAAAAAAUAGAUAAAAAAGGGUUAAUAGCACAAAACGUUCGUACAUUUGACACUUAUUACGAAAAACGUCCCUACGUUUCUUUUUUUUUUUUUUUUUUUUUUUUUUGCAUUUUCGUCCUUAUUUCAAUGUUUCAUUGCUAAAAAUGCCAAUUUCACCAUUUUUAAUAUAAAAUUACCAAAAUACUCUCCUAUUUAAAUAAAAGCAAAAAAAAGAAAAAAAGAAAAAAAAGAAAAGUAAAAUAAAGAAUAAAUUGCAAUUUUACUCCUAAAUGUUUUAAAAAGUGCAAGUGAGUCCAAAUAAUUAUUAAAAUGCAUAAUAGCACAAACGUCCCUACGUUUAGCAUGUAGUAUGCAAAACUUUUCUACGUUUCAAAUUGAUGAAAAUGACGUUUUUCAUAAUGAAACGUGAAAAUAGAGAUGAAAAUGUAAAAAAAAAAUUGAAACGUAUGAACGUUUUCCGCAAGAAGUGUAAAAUGUAGGGACGUUUUUCGCAAGAAGUGUCAAAUGUAGAGAUGUUUUGUACUAUUAGACCUUAUUAAAAUUGAAACCAAUGCCAAACCGGUGAACCUCCAUACCGUUUUCAAAAUACCAUCACCAAAACUCUGGCGGCACCAUUUGUUUCGGAGAGAUCGAUGUCAUUUCCAAUACACCAAUUGACUAUAUUUACCAGGCCGCUUCUCUCCAUGGUCUCUUCUUCUCCAAAUGGGACUGCCACCUUAGAAAUGAAGAAACUCCGACGGCAUGGAGGUUCGGCGGUUUGGGCGAUGGUUAGUCGGAGUUUUUUCAUUUCUAAGGUGGCAGUCCCCAUUUGGAUACAGUAUUAUCUAAAUUGAUGUUAUAACACUAAAAUAGUAUUAUUCUGCCCUUCGAAAAUCAUUAAAAUAAUUUUUUUCUCAAAUUUAUUUUCAAUCAUACAUUAGUAUAAUAAAAAUAUUUUGCAGUAAAUUCAAUUUAUUAUUAUUAUUAUUAUUAUUAUUAAUCACACAUUAUCACAAUAAAAUAUUUUACACGUAAAUUUAAUUAAUUAAUUUAUUAUUAUUAUUAUAUUUUUUUCUUUUUAAUUACACAUUUUUCAAAAAAAUACUAUUUCAAUUUAUUUAUUUAUUAUUUUUUUUCCCCGAAAACCUGGUUGUCAAAGAGGGCGCAAGUCUUUAAUGAAAAUGUCGCAGACAAACUUAGAAAUAAUUCAUUAAGCCUUUGUUAGGUAAAUUCAUAAAUGGUUUAUAAAACAAAAUACAUGUAAAUUCUUAAAAUAUGUGAGUAAUGUUGAAUGAUUAAAAUUAUUAUUAAUUUUGAUAUAAUUCAUAAAUAUGGGGGUCAAAUGAAGUUAAUAUGGUAGCUUUAUAGGAACUUUUUAGUACGAAAUAGUGACGGGAAUAUGAAAUUUAUGAUUAGUAAUGAAUGAUAGUUUUUGAAUAUGUGGGGAAUAAUGAGGUUAAUAUGGUAGCUUUAUUGUUUAUUGUCCCAUUUCCUUUCCUCGAAACCAAAACCCAUCAACGAAUUUUGCUUAAACAUUCCACUUUAUAUUCGGGUUCAUCAUCAUACUGCAUGCUGCAAGACAAUGACAAAAAUAUCUGGAACCGGGUAAUCUGGCCAAUGCACUUCCCUUUUACUUUACGGCAAUUCCUCUUGUACAGAGGAAUUGAGCCUAUAUAAAUGCCUUAAUUUUCGAGAAGUAAAAGACUGGCUAUAUACUAUUGUAGCAGUGGAAUCGUUAUGAGGAUAAUCAAGUGGUGUUUGAAGAAGUUCCCUUUCUCAAAGAAAGCAUUGUUUAUAAUUAGUAAAUGAAGAAUAAUUAUGCUGAUUUUGAUUAUUUCCUUACUUCUAACACUUGGCUUAAAUUUCUGUCGGCCUCAUAUUUGUCCACAGUGCCGUAGAGAUGGCACUGCUAGAUAUACUGAUCACUCAUCUCCCAGGUGUAUGGAACCUAACAAAAUCGGCUAAAGCUGUCAAUUUACAAGAAGGAACCGCGGCAGUUCUGCAAAUUUUAUUUGCUUUUGCAUCGGAUGCCUAUCUGGGCCGCUUCAAAAUGGUGGUUUAUUCCACCAU